rnacentral:rRNA from 1 species
CAGUAGCCGCGGGAAUACGAAGGGGGCUAGCGUUGUUCGGAAUUACUGGGCGUAAAGCGCACGUAGGCGGACAUUUAAGUCAGGGGUGAAAUCCCGGGGCUCAACCCCGGAACUGCCUUUGAUACUGGGUGUCUAGAGUAUGGAAGAGGUGAGUGGAAUUCCGAGUGUAGAGGUGAAAUUCGUAGAUAUUCGGAGGAACACCAGUGGCGAAGGCGGCUCACUGGUCCAUUACUGACGCUGAGGUGCGAAAGCGUGGGGAGCAAACAGGAUUAGAUACCCGUGUAGUCCCUGUCUCUUAUAC